rnacentral:rRNA from 1 species
GUGCCUGAAUGACAAUCCCCUGACGUCACCCUGCCAAUAAGCCCCGGCUUACUACGUGCCCGCAGCCGCGGUAACACGUAAGGGGCAAGCGUUGUUCGGAUUCAUUGGGCGUAAAGGGCGUGUAGGCGGCAUGACAAGUCUGGUGUGAAAUUUCUCGGCUCAACCGAGAAAACUCACUGGAAACUGGCAAGCUUGAGUAUCGGAGGGGAAGCUAGAAUUCCUGGUGUAGGGGUGAAAUCUGUAGAUAUCAGGAAGAAUACCGGUGGCGAAGGCUACCUUCUGGCCAGGUACUGACGCUUAGAUGCGUAAUCUUUUGGAGGGCACCUUUUUAUAUACCC